GCGGAGGGGUGAAGGGGCUGGGGCGGGAGGAGCAUUCUGACGCUUGCGCGCUGAGUAGGAAUCGGAGGCUACUUGCGUGGAGUCUCAGAGGCACAGCUGUAGUUCCGGCAAAGCAGUGAGUCAAAUGCUGAGGAACUAGACUGUCACAUGGCAACCUCAAGGCAACACACUAAAGGAAGGAAAAAGGCAACCCAUACUCCUCAAUUGGAAAGUGCCUUUAGAAAUAGACAUUAUGGAGUUCCCUGGUGGUCUGGUGGUUAAGAAUCUGCCGGCCACUGUAGGGGACACAGGCUUGAUCCCUGGCCCGGGAAGAUCCCACAUGCCACAGAAC